rnacentral:rRNA from 1 species
GUAGGGUGCGAGCGUUAUCCGGAAUCAUUGGGCGUAAAGAGCUCGUAGGCGGUUCAGCAAGUCGGCUGUGAAAUUCCGAGGGCUCAACCUCGGAACUGCAGUCGAUACUGCUGUGACUCGAGUCCGGUAGAGGAGAAUGGAAUUCCCGGUGUAGCGGUGGAAUGCGCAGAUAUCGGGAGGAACACCAGUAGCGAAGGCGGUUCUCUGGGCCGGCGCUGACGCUGAGGAGCGAAAGCGUGGGUAGCAAACAGGAUUAGAUACCCUGGUAGUCCACGCCGUAAACGUUGGAUACUAGGUGUGGCGUUCCGACCAACGGUCGCCGUGCCGAAGCUAACGCAUUAAGUAUCCCGCCUGGGGAGUACGGCCGCAAGGCUA